CCUACGGGAGGCAGCAGUGAGGAAUAUUGGUCAAUGGGCGUAAGCCUGAACCAGCCAAGUCGCGUGAGGGAUGAAGGUUCUAUGGAUUGUAAACCUCUUUUAUAAGGGAAUAAAGUGUGGGACGUGUCCUAUUUUGUAUGUACCUUAUGAAUAAGGAUCGGCUAACUCCGUGCCAGCAGCCGCGGUAAUACGGAGGAUCCGAGCGUUAUCCGGAUUUAUUGGGUUUAAAGGGUGCGUAGGCGGCCUUUUAAGUCAGCGGUGAAAGUAUGUGGCUUAACCAUAGAAUUGCCGUUGAAACUGGAGAGCUAGAGAAUGUUUGAGGCAGGCGGAAUGAGUGAUGUAGCGGUGAAAUGCUUAGAUAUCACGCAGAACCCCGAUAGCGAAGGCAGCCUGCCAGGCCAUGACUGACGCUGAUGCACGAGAGCGUGGGGAUCAAACAGGAUUAGAUACCCCGGUAGUC
rnacentral:rRNA from 1 species